UGGGGAAUAUUGGACAAUGGGCGAAAGCCUGAUCCAGCAACGCCGCGUGCGGGACGAAGGCCUUCGGGUCGUAAACCGCUGUCAGAUGGGACGAAGGAAUCGUGGUUAAUAUCUGCGGUUCUUGACGGUACCUUCAGAGGAAGCCCCGGCUAACUCCGUGCCAGCAGCCGCGGUAAUACGGAGGGGGCGAGCGUUAUUCGGAAUCAUUGGGCGUAAAGGGCGCGUAGGCGGCUCGAUAAGGUUCAAGGUGAAAGCCCUCGGCUCAACCGAGGAACUGCCUUGGAUACUGUCGAGCUUGAGUCCGGAAGAGGGUGGUGGAAUUCCCGGUGUAGCGGUGAAAUGCGUAGAUAUCGGGAGGAACAUCGGUGGCGAAGGCGGCCACCUGGGCCGGUACUGACGCUGAGGCGCGAAAGCGUGGGGAGC
rnacentral:rRNA from 1 species